rnacentral:rRNA from 1 species
UACGGAGGGUGCAAGCGUUGUCCGGAUUUAUUGGGUUUAAAGGGUGCGUAGGCGGGCCUUUUAAGUCAGUGGUGAAAGCCGACAGCUUAACUGUCGAAAUGCCAUUGAUACUGGGGGUCUUGAGUACAGUAGAGGUAGGCGGAAUUAAUGGUGUAGCGGUGAAAUGCAUAGAUACCAUUAAGAACACCGAUUGCGAAGGCAGCUUACUAUAGUGUAACUGACGCUGAGGCACGAAAGUGUGGGGAUCAAACAGG